rnacentral:rRNA from 1 species
GUCGAGAAUCUUUCACAAUGGGGGCAACCCUGAUGGAGCGACGCCGCGUGGAGGAUAAGGUCUUCGGAUUGUAAACUCCUGUCAUGCGUGAACAAGGUUGCUUGGUUAAUACCUGGGCAAAUUGAUGGUAACGCAAGAGGAAGAGACGGCUAACUCUGUGCCAGCAGCCGCGGUAAUACAGAGGUCUCAAGCGUUGUUCGGAAUCACUGGGCGUAAAGGGUGCGUAGGUUGCGUGGUAAGUCAGAUGUGAAAGCCCGGGGCUCAACCUCGGAACUGCAGCCGAUACUGCCAUGCUAGAGUACUGGAGAGGUGACUAGAAUUCUCGGUGUAGCAGUGAAAUGCGUAGAUAUCGAGAGGAAUACCAAAGGCGUAGGCAGGUCACUGGACAGUUACUGACACUGAGGCACGAAGGCCAGGGGAGCGAACGGGAUUAGAAACCCUUGUAGUCC